rnacentral:piRNA from 1 species
UCACAUAAUAUCCCUGAAGAAUAUGUCGGA